rnacentral:lncRNA from 1 species
GGAGCCAGAACCCUGGUUCCUGUGACUGAAGCUGGCUCAAGGAUACAGCCGUGGGUGGGUACUGUGCCUCCCUUCUGUCCUGGCAUAGGAAGCACAAGGGCACUUUAAGCUCUACAACCCAGAUCAGCAUAAAUCUUGGAAUUUCUUGUGGACCAAGAGUGACAGACGUGAAACAAACUCACUUCUCAGCUGGUAACUCAAACAAUGAGUUGGUUUCAGAGGCUAUUUACAAACUCUGGAGAAGAAGAACUUCAGAAAAAAGUUGGUAAGUUUUCUAAUACCCCUUUCCCCAAAGCCCUUUAAAACAACUGGUUUCUUGAUGUCUUUAUGAUUCCCUGCCUUUUAAAAAAUGUAUAAGCCGUCUGUUGGCCUCCGGUGCUCCUGGAGGUCU